AUGUUCAUCUGGCAGGGGAGACGCCGUGAUCACGUAGGUGGUUUUCUCAGGGUGAGGCUCAGCCGUUGCACUUCGGCUGUGCUGAUCCCUGCGAUUUCCCUACGUGCGGUAAACUCGACUGCAUCAUUUAUGGUAGUGGGGGCCUGCGUUCGAACUCUCCCCGG